rnacentral:rRNA from 1 species
UACGUAGGGUGCAAGCGUUGUCCGGAAUUAUUGGGCGUAAAGAGCUCGUAGGCGGUCUGUCGCGUCUGCUGUGAAAACUCGGGGCUUAACCCCGGGCCUGCAGUGGGUACGGGCAGACUAGAGUGCGGUAGGGGAGACUGGAAUUCCUGGUGUAGCGGUGAAAUGCGCAGAUAUCAGGAGGAACACCAGUGGCGAAGGCGGGUCUCUGGGCCGUAACUGACGCUGAGGAGCGAAAGCAUGGGGAGCGAACAGG